AUUGUUUUGGCAGAUUAGUGUGAUAAAUUUAGGAUUUAUAUAUGUAUAUUUAUACAAGCAAUA
rnacentral:tRNA from 1 species